GACCCUACUGAAGGAUGGAAUCUGUCCAACUGCACCUCCCUUCUCGGCAGCUGACAACCACCUGGGAAUAAAAGUACUCCGGGAAGAAGAAAGAAGGGCAUAAAAUACACUUGGCUAUGAUUUCAAUGAAGGAGGACAAGGAAUGGAAGCAGGACAGUCCUAUGGCUUGUGUUUAGCAUGCAAUUGGGAUAGAUGAUCAUCUUGGCUUUCCUGGCCAUAAGAUCUAUUGAUGAAUGGCACACCUUUCCACCAGGACUUUCCUAAAAGGAUAACCGGUGUUUUGUCUGUUAUGAGGUCUGGUGGUGUUACCCCAACGGAAGGCAUCUCUGCCCUGAAGCUAUGAAGCACCACACAGGCCACAACUACUUCACUGCCUGCUUAUCCUGCUGCUGCACUGAAAGCUCAUAUAUGGAUGUUUGCUAGAGACAUCGCACCGUUGCUCCAAAACCU